AUGAACGCUGGCGGCGUGCCUAAUACAUGCAAGUCGAGCGAACGGACGAGAAGCUUGCUUCUCUGAUGUUAGCGGCGGACGGGUGAGUAACACGUGGAUAACCUACCUAUAAGACUGGGAUAACUUCGGGAAACCGUAGCUAAUACCGGAUAAUAUUUUGAACCGCAUGGUUCAAAAGUGAAAGACGGUCUUGCUGUCACUUAUAGAUGGAUCCGCGCUGCAUUAGCUAGUUGGUAAGGUAACGGCUUACCAAGGCAACGAUGCAUAGCCGACCUGAGAGGGUGAUCGGCCACACUGGAACUGAGACACGGUCCAGACUCCUACGGGAGGCAGCAGUAGGGAAUCUUCCGCAAUGGGCGAAAGCCUGACGGAGCAACGCCGCGUGAGUGAUGAAGGUCUUCGGAUCGUAAAACUCUGUUAUUAGGGAAGAACAUAUGUGUAAGUAACUGUGCACAUCUUGACGGUACCUAAUCAGAAAGCCACGGCUAACUACGUGCCAGCAGCCGCGGUAAUACGUAGGUGGCAAGCGUUAUCCGGAAUUAUUGGGCGUAAAGCGCGCGUAGGCGGUUUUCAAGUCUGAUGUGAAAGCCCACGGUCAACCGUGGAGGGUCACUUGGAAACUGGACAAUUGAGUGCAGAAGAGGACCGUGGAAUUCCAUGUGUAGCGGUGAACUGCGCAGAGAUCUGGAGGAACACCAUUGGCGCAAGGCGACUUCUCGGUUCUGUCAAUGACGCUGAAUGUGCGAAAAGCGUGGGGGA
rnacentral:rRNA from 1 species